rnacentral:rRNA from 1 species
GAUGAACGCUGGCGGCGUGCCUAAUACAUGCAAGCCGAGCGAACGGACGAGAAGCUUGCUUUUCUGAUGUUAGCGGCGGACGGGUGAGUAACACGUGGAUAACCUACCUAUAAGACUGGGAUAACUUCGGGAAACCGGAGCUAAUACCGGAUAAUAUUUUGAACCGCAUGGUUCAAAAGUGAAAGACGGUCUUGCUGUCACUUAUAGAUGGAUCCGCGCUGCAUUAGCUAGUUGGUAAGGUAACGGCUUACCAAGGCAACGAUGCAUAGCCGACCUGAGAGGGUGAUCGGCCACACUGGAACUGAGACACGGUCCAGACUCAUACGGGAGGCAGCAGUAGGGAAUCUUCCGCAAUGGGCGAAAGCCUGACGGAGCAACGCCGCGUGAGUGAUGAAGGUCUUCGGAUCGUAAAACUCUGUUAUUAGGGAAGAACAUAUGUGUAAGUAACUGUGCACAUCUUGACGGUACCUAAUCAGAAAGCCACGGCUAACUACGUG